CAUGGUUGUCGUCAGCUCGUGUCGUGAGAUGUUGGUUAAGUCCGCAACGAGCGCAACCCCUACUUGUUGUUAAGCCAUCAUUCAGUUGGGCACUCUAGCGAGACUGCCGGUAAUAAACCGGAGGAAGGUGGGGAGUGACGUCAAAUCAUCAUGCCCCUUAUGACCUGGGCUACACACGUGCUACAAUGGUUGGUACAACGAGUUGCGAGUCGGUGACGGCGAGCUAAUCUCUUAAAGCCAAUCUCAGUUCGGAUUGUAGGCUGCAACUCGCCUACAUGAAGUCGGAAUCGCUAGUAAUCGCGGAUCAGCACGCCGCGGUGAAUACGUUCCCGGGCCUU
rnacentral:rRNA from 1 species